GUACCGACUUGGAGAAGCUGACACACGGCGCAGGCAUCAGAAAAUCCAGAAGCCGUCCCGCUUGGGAUGGAUGGCCAGGCCCCGAAGGUUCCUCUCGAGCCCAGUGGGCCCCGUCCUUCUGUAGGUGCUGUUUGGAGAGGCCUGACCCGGGGUCUUUCCUAGAUGGGCUCUGGAAGACGGAGGGGCUGCUGGCAGCUUGCUGAAGCUGUCCGGGCCUCCGCAGCCCGGAGCGGGAUCCGUUCCAUCGCACACCACGACUCGACCAACUGCUUGGGUGCCGCGCCGGCCGAGUGGACCGCUAGGGUCUCUCAGGAGCCUGGCGGGUGGGAAGAGGCCGCCGAGGACAGAGGGAGCCCGCCGGACGAGGGCGGCGUCGGGGGCACGGCCACGCGGGGCCGGCCCCGGUUGGCCCUGGGUUCCCGUGGGGCCGCGAGGUGGAAGGGCUGGGCGGCGGCGGCGGCGGCGGCGGCGGUGGCCGCGGCCGCGGGGCACUCGCGCGGCUGGACAGCGGUGGGGGCGUGGCGGGGCGAUGGGGCGACCGGUGAGGAGGGAGGAGGGGCGGGAGGAGCGUGGAGGGAGCGGCGCUGGGGCCGGGGGGGGGGGGGGCGCAAAAGGAGAGGGAGGCGGCGGGAGGCAAAAGCCUACAGCACCCGGUAUUCCCAGGCGGUCUCCCAUCCAAGUACUAACCAGGCCCGACCCUGCUUAGCUUCCGAGAUCAGACGAGAUCGGGCGCGUUCAGGGUGGUAUGGCCGUAGACGCUGGCGGCUGCCGCCGGCGCCCCUAAGAAGCCUCGCGCGCGCGCGCGCUGUCGCCUGGCCCCUGUGACGCGCCGUCGCCUGGCCUGUGACGCGCGCGCCCGAGCCCCUGUGACGCGCACCGGCCGCCCGCGUCCCCUGCGCCCCGCGCUCCGCCGCCUGCCGCCUGCCUGCCACUGCCUCCCGCCGCCGCCGCCGCCGCCGCCGCGCAGCCAAACCCUGCCCUGCCCUGCCCUGCCCUGCCCUGCCCUGCCCUGCCGCCCGCCCAGGGCGCGGGAGGCCUCGGGCACCCCGGGGACUGUGGGCGGGCGGGGCGCAAGUCUAGGCGCUCUCCCAAGCCGGCCCUGGACGCUCCAGGCCUCCUUCCCGCUGGCUUCCUGGCUAUAGAUUAGGUCGGGUCUCCCCUGAAGUUCAGAAUAAUAUAAGAAGGCCCAUCCUUUGUCAGGCUGUAAGAAAAUAAUUUCUCAGAUACCAUUGUGUAAAAGCAUCCUGCCUUUGUCAUGGAAUCAGUGACAUAUCUUUCAUUGAUCAAAACAGCAGUGGGAGUACCUGUGGAGCAAUGAUAAGGAUUCAGGAAAUAGUUUACGAUUCAAGUGCAUCCUAAAGUUGGAGCAACCCUGGCUAGAAUAUCAUAGAUCCUUGAGUUGGCAGAGACCUUUCACUCUUCAGUAUAUUUAUAUUCAACGCAAAGAUCCUUCCUUCUAUAUCAUCCUUGACAACAGACCACCUAGAUUCUGUGUAAAUAAUUCCGAUGACAAGAAAUGCAUUAAAUAAAGAGACCCCUUUGUUUUUAGAGUUUUAAAUGUUUGGUUACACUUUAUUCACUGAUCC
rnacentral:lncRNA from 1 species